rnacentral:lncRNA from 1 species
UUUUUUUUUAUUUUUAAUUUUUUUUGUCUUUUUCUAGAGAACAGUUUAUUUUUUUAAUUUUUAUUUUAUUUUUGUGUUUUUCUAGGUAAGUGGAUUUAGUGAUUACCCAGGGUUUCAAUACCAGUGAUGUAACGUUACUGUAAGGCAGAACAUUAUUGUGAAAACUUUCUGUUGAGAGAUGCCUGGAGGAUGCCUCUGUUGAGGAGGUAAACUCAAACCCUAGCUUCCCAACCCCAUGGUCCUCUUCCUCAGGUCUUGCACUAGACCAGGUGGUGGUGGGCAUGCAAAUCCCUUUUGGGAAAGACCAGAAGAAGAGGGUCAUGGGGUUUGGGAAGUGGUGCCUCUUCCCUUCCUAGGGUUUGAGUUUGCCUCUGGGCUUGGGGAGAAAGCCCUGCAGUACCUGAGCCGUGUCAACCUGGAACGGGGGAGAAGGCAGCGUAGACUUGCUCUUGUUGGGCAAAGACAUAAAUGAUGGCGUCCGAGCGACAUCACUAGAAAGGAAAUGCUUACAGCGUGUCAGGUACUAUUUGAAUCAUUUUAUGUUUAAGUCUUUCUCACAGCCUAUGACGCUGUCAUUUCUGUAGGUCAGAGCUGGUAAAAUAUUGUCACUUCGACAUAGUUUACAGAUUUUCCACCUUAAGAUGUGAACAAAAGAUUUUUUAAUAAUGACCCAACGUCCCAAAGCUAAUGGGUGGCUGUACAGAUCAAGUGUUCUUGCAGGAACAAAAGGCACCUUCAGAAGGGGAUGACUGAGACAUUAAUGAAAGACUGCUUACAGAUGGGGUUAAAUGAAAUCAACAAGGAUAGAGGAAGUUUCUGGAAAAGCCAUCUUAAAGCAGUCCAGUGGGCACUGGGAGGUGGCUGGAGCUGGAAGCAGGGGGGUGAAGUGUGUGUGUGUGUCUGUGUUUAGGACGGGUGACUUAGAAGUCACCUCUCAGUGUGCUGGUCUUAUAGAUGGUGCCAGUACAAAAGGACUGAGGUCAGGUGUUUAUUCUUUAUAAUAUACAAUGCCUGUCAAAAAUUUUUGCAGGAGCCAUUCCGAGCACAGCAUGGACCACUGCAAGGGAUUGACAGCUAGAUAUUAGUCACGAGUUCUUAAAUACCAUCCAUUUAUCAUCAGCCCUUAAUUAAUGGGGAUCCUUCUGCCCAGAACACGCAGUGAGACUUCUGCCUCCUCUUUAUCCCCUGCCCCCUGCCGGGUCACACUGAGGAGGAAGGAGAAUGACAUGCAAACAUGAUGUCCAAGUUUGAAGAAGCCACCUGUAGCCAGAGCAGCCAGUUCUUGGUAAGUGUCCGGAUACUGUCAGUCAAGCCCGACUUCCCUCUCAACUUUUCAUCUUUACACUGUCUCUUGCCAACCUCUGUUCCCUCUGUUCCAGCUGCCCCCUUCCUCCACUGGCUCCCAUCCGCUAACCCUGAUGGAUGGAAAAUACUUUCUCAGAAGUGACUAGAAGAAACCUGAGAAAUGACUCUUGCACAAGGAAGCCAGGCUGCCCACCCCAUUUGAGGAUGUGUUCAAUCCUAAGGAUAACUCACCUAUUUUAUUGUAUUUUAUUUUUUGGCUGUACCGAUGGCCUGUGGAAGUUCCUAGGUCAGGGUUGAAACUGCACCACAGCAGUGCCAAUGCCAGAUCUUUAGCCCACUGUAUCACCACGGAACUCUGCACCCAUUUUAAAAUCUAAGAACAUCCCAACCAAUGCCCAUGGCGCCCACAGCUGGCUUGACUUCCCCAGAUGCUCCUGAUAAUCUAAUUCUCUCCUAACAUAAGAGGUAAUGUCAUGCUUCAUGCUUCAAAUGGACCAUCCCUGUAUCUUUUUUUCAGGAAACACUCCUUCACCUUAAAUUCAAGUGUUUAAAAGUUCAAAGCACUUAAUGUUUGCACAUAAAGUGAAUUUUAGAUUACAUUCUUUUUUGGAGAGAGUCACAUAACGGGCUGUUACAAAUUCAUUCCAAAAAGCAACUUUCAGAUUCUGUCCUGAGGUCAGUAACAUACAUUCCCUUUGCCUCCUGUACUUACAACUCUGUAAUUACAACUCAAGAAAUAAUAUAUGAGGAUUCUGAUACAUGGAAAGAUCCUGAAAAAGUGUUUUGAAUUAUUAAAGAAGAAAUCAUUCAUAGUAUUGGCAUGAAGUAUAUUACACAGUACUGUCAGCCUUUGAACAUUGCUAAGUCAUGUGUGACAUAUACGGUAUAAAGAAAUCAGACUACUCUGUUCUACCUAUUUCUGCUAGUUGAGAAGUUUUAUACAAAAAAUUCAUUUAAUAAUUCUGACACCUGUGGUCAAUUAAUCUUUGACAAAGGAGGCAAAGAAUAUAAAAUGAGAAAAAGACAGUCUUUUCAGCAAGUGGUGCUGGGAAAACUGGACAGCAACAUGUAAAUCAGUGAAACUAGAACACACCCUCACACCAUGCACAAAAAUAAAUAACACUGUAAAUCAGCUAUAAUAGAAAAGAUAAAAAUCAUUAUAAAAAUGGCCUAAAGACUUAAACAUAAGACAUCAUAAAACUAGAAGAGAACAUAGGCAAAAUAUUCUCUGACAUCAACUGUGUAAAUGUUUCCUUAGGUCAGUCUCCCAAGGCAAGAGAAGUAAAAGCAAAAAUAAUGGGACCUAAUCAAACGUAAAAGCUUUUGCACAGCAAAGGAAAUAAAACCCCAAAAAGACACCCUAUGGAAUGGGAGAACAUAGUUGCAAAUGAUACAACGAACAAGGGCUUAAUCCCCAAAAUAUACAAACAACUCAUACAACUCAACAGCAAAAACAAAAACAAAAAGCAAAAAAACCUGAACAACAACAACAAAAACAACCCAAAUGAAAAAUGGGCAGAAAACCUAGAUAUUUCUCCAAAGAAGAUAUACAGAUAGCCAACAAACACAUGAAAAAAAUGCUCAACAUCACUAAUUAUUAGAGAAAUGUAGAUCAAAACUACAAUGAGGUACCAUCUCACACUGGUCAGAACAGCUAUCAUUAAUAAGUCUACAAAUAACAAGUGCUAGAGAGGGUGUGGAGAAAAGGGAACCCUACUUCUCUGUUGGUGGGAAUGUAGACUGGUACAACCAUUAUGGAAAACAGUAUGGAGGUUCCUCAGAGAACUAAAUAUAGAACUACCAGAAGUUUCAGUAAUCCCACUCCUGGGCAUAUAUCUGGAUAAAAAAACUUUCAUUCUAAAAGAUACAUGCACCACUAUAUUCAUUCCAGCACUAUUCACAAUAGCCAAGACAUGGAAACAGCCUAAAUGUCCAUUGACAGAUGAAUGGAUUAAGAAGAUGUGGUAUAUAUACACAAAGGAAUACUACUCAGCCAUAAAAAAGAAAAUACCAUUUGCAGCAACAUGGAUAGAACUAGAGAUUCUCAUACUAAGUGAAGUAAGUCAGAAAGAGAAAGACAAAUACCAUAUGAUAUCACUUAUAUGUGGAAUCUAAAAUGUGGCACAAAUGAACCUAUCUACAAAACAGAAACAAACUCAUGGGCAGAGAACAGACUUGUGGUUGCCAAGCAGGAGGGGGAGGGAGUGGGAUGGACUGGGAGUUUGGGGUUAGUAGAUGCAAACUGUUGCAUUUGGAGUGAAUAAGCAAUGAGAUCCUGCUGUAUAGCUUAGAGAACUACAUCCAAUCCCUUGUGAUGGAAAAUAAUGGAAGAUAUGAGAAAAAGAAUGUAUACACAUACACACACACACAUACAUAUAUAUAACUUGGGUGUCACUUUGCUGUACAGCAGAAAUUGACAGGACACUGUCAAUCAACUAUAAUAAACAUUUUUUUUAAUUUAAAAAAGAUUUUUAAAAAGUCAAAAAAAAAUUGGAAGAACUACUGGAUAAGAAACUCAAUCCAGGAGUUCCUGUUGUGGCUCAGUGGGUUGAGGACCUAAUGUGGUCUCUGUGAGGAUGCAGGUUUGAUCCCUGGUCUCACUCAGUGGAUGAAGGACCCGGCAUUGCCACAAGCUGUGGCAUAGUCCACAGAUGUGGACUGGAUCUGGGGUUGCUGUGGCACCUGCAGCUCCAAUUUGACCCCUAGCCCGGGAACGUCCAUAUGCCGGGGUGCGGCCAGUCGUUGCACCUCUGGGUUUUUCUGUUACCACCUCUAGAGAGGAGAUGCGCUACGACCUCCAAGUUAUAAAAAUCCUCCUGUCAUCCCCACCCUUCUCUUUAGAGCCCAAACUUUGGACUUCAGCUGCAGCUCCUUCUGGGGGUGGGUGUUGCCAUCAGAAGCCCUUUGGUGACCCUCGGUCACUUGUACUGGCAUUGUCACUCUUGGGACAUUUCCCUUAGACUUCUGCUGGUCUCUGUUAAACCAUCAUUUAGUUAACACUCCCGCAGUUACAGAGCAGAGGACAGAACCGGCAGCAGAUGGUAUCUGGAAGCAUAAAGUGACAGACCUGGGAACAUUCCUGGGUGAGAAGCUUCUAUUUCCAGAGUCCUGCUCCUCACCCGGUUCCAGCUCCUUUAUCUGGUGAAGUUCCACAUCCUUUAAGGAUCAAGUCCAAUGUCACUUCUACCUCACUUGGGAGAGGUUCUUUCUCCUCUGGGCUCCUAAUUUUUACCCACCACUGUCACAUCUGUCAUCACCUCCUAUUGCAUAUUGAUUUUUUGCCUGCUUGCUCACCUCUUUAGGAAUAUCCUUACAAGUGGCCACGAUUGGUUCUUCUCUAGGGUAGCUUAUUUCCAGGCUCUGUGAGCCUGUGUGUAAGGCCUGCCUUGGGUGAUUAUAACAAACAAAUGCUGAAGCCCUUUUGGGUGCAUCAUUUCAAUCUUUUAAAGAUGAUUUCUGGUGCUUCCCUCCUUGGGAACUUUCUACUUUCCUGUCACUUUGGUGAUUCUUAUCAGUGUUCCCUGGUAGACAAUUAAUGGUAUGAUUUUUUUGACCAAUUAGCUCAGGAAGCUCAGACUUCAGCAUCUUAAAAAAAAAAAAAAAAAUCCCCAAGUGGAGUUCCCGUCGAGGCUCAGUGGUUAACGAAUUUGACUAGGAACCAUGAGGUUGUGGGUUCGAUCCCUGGCCUCGCUCAGUGGGUUAAGGAUCGGGCGUUACUGUGAGCUGUGGUGUAGGUCGCAGAUGUGGCUUGGAUCCCACUUUGCUGUGGCUGUGGCGUAGGCUGGUGGCUACAAGUCCGAUUAGACCCUUAGCCUGGGAACCUCCAUAUGCCAUGGGCGUGGCCCUAGAAAAGCCAAAAAAAAGAAAAAAAAAAAGAAAAAGAAAAAAGGAAAAAAAAAAUCCCCAAAUAAUAACCAGCUCAAGAAUACAAAUGUUCUAUGCAGUUCUGGAAUGCUAUCACUUAUUGACUCUAUUCAUUAAAAAAAAAAGGUGCAUGCAAAUCUAAAAUCCCCACACAGAAAAUGGAACUAAUCCACAAAUAAGUGCGUGCCUCAUACACACCUACAUACCAACAAGUAACACGAGAAUCAUAGGAACCUGCAUGUGUAGGUUCUGGAUUCAUCUGGAUUCAUGCUGAACAUUGCUAAGCAUUGUGCCAGCUGCUUCACAGGCCCAGUAUCUUUGACACUAUCCUUGAAAUUCAUGAUGGCAUGAGGGUCAUCACACAUAAGCAUUUUCUUUUUGUCCCUCUGAACAAAGUGAACAUUGACCCGGAUACAGGGAAGGAUCCUAGCUGGGGUCACUCACAUCGCUUGAAUCAUAACAAGAGAAAGACUUUUGCAGUCUCCGAACUUUUUUCAAGCAGAAGCAAGCAGCUGUUCCUGAGAUAAAGCAGUGUGAGUUCUCAUAUACAGAGUUAGUGAUGCAUGGCAUUGAGGGGAGAGGUGAGGGGGGAACUCAAUCAUUGCAUCAAACUGCCGUUUUCAAUUUUACAAAGAACUCUUGCAUGUGUUCUUAUUUGAUAAUAGCCUCACAGAAUCAAAGGCUUUUCACCAUAGCAACCUUAGUAGUUGGCCCUUUUUAACAUUGAAGAAACUGAGGCUCAAAUGCUUAAGUGACUCCCUUAGAGUGACAAAACUAGUUAAGUGGUAGGAGAUGGGAUUACUGAGUCCAGGGUCUACAGGUUUAGCUUUUGUUUUUUUAGGACAUGCUUGCUUAAAGAAAGACAGCACUAGUGAGAGACAGUUUUACACAGAGGAAAGCAAAAAUUGAGCCAACCACAGAAGCACCCUCUUUCAAUUAUACAGUGGUUAACACUUAAAAUUACUUUCCCAGUAUCCUAAAUGACUGCCCUUACAAAGCAAAUGCACUGCCUAAACCAUGGCUGCAUGCUUUUUCUUUACUUGGAAGGAUCUCUCAGAGAGCAUUACUAAAAAUAACUUCAUUAUCUGUAAUAGAAACUCAUCUAUCACCAUUCUAAUUAGAAUGUGACUAAAGAAAUCAGUAGUGAACAAAGGCGUUUUGGACAUUUGGUGCCUAUAAUGAUGGCUUUGAAGUUCCAGGGAAAAGUCAGUUUUCCAAAUGUCUCCUCAUUUAUAUCUCUCACUCGCCAUUCUUCUCAGUUCUCAAAGAAACUGUUUUUAAAUAUAUAUAAUAAUGGUAAUAGACAUUUGCAGAAACUGGAAAAAUAGAACAGCACAAAGAAGGAAAAAAAAACUUAUAUGCUCUCCUCUCAGAGAAAAUCACUACUAUUUUGAUGUGCCUGAGCAUUUUCUGCACAGAUAAGCAUUUCUGCCUACUUAGCACCAUAGUGUAUAAACUCUUUUGUUACCCACUUUCACACUUAUUAGAAUUAUUUCCUCCAUCAGGUAGAUAUUCUACAGUUUUUGGUGGUUGCACAGUAUUCUACUUACUAAAUUGCAUUAUUUAUAAAUUUUCCACUUCACUGAAUAGUUACUGAUUUUUAUGAGCAACCGUGCUAAAUAGCCUUGUAUAUUAAUUUCUGCAAACCUGUCAUAUUGAAGAAAAAUUCCCAGAAACAGAUUUGCUGGGUCAAAUCUUUAGGCAAAAUUUAAGAAUAUACAUCUUGGGAGUUCCCGUCGUGGCGCAGUGGUUAACGAAUCCGACUAGGAAACAUGAGGUUGUGGGUUCGGUCCCUGCCCUUGUUUAGUGGGUUAACGAUCCGGCAUUGCUGUGAGCUGUGGUGUAGGUUGCAGAUGUGGCUCAGAUCCCGCGUUGCUGUGGCUCUGGCAUAGGCCAGUGGCUACAGCUCCGAUUCGACCCCUAGCCUGGGAACCUCCAUAUGCCGCGGGAGCGGCCCAAAGAAAUAGCAAAAAG